rnacentral:rRNA from 1 species
GACGAACGCUGGCGGCGUGCUUAACACAUGCAAGUCGAACGAUGAAGAAGAGAAACGCGAACUUCGGUUCAAAUUUCACUUCGGAUUAGUGGCAGACGGGUGAGUAACGCGUGAGCAACCUACCUCUUACAAAGGGAUAGCCUCGGGAAACCGUGAUUAAUACCAUAUGACACAUUCAUAAGGCAUCUUAAGAAUGUUAAAGCUACGGCGGUAAGAGAUGGGCUCGCGUCCCAUUAGCUAGUUGGUGAGGUAACGGCCCACCAAGGCGACGAUGGGUAACCGGCCUGAGAGGGUGAACGGUCACAUUGGAACUGAGACACGGUCCAAACUCCUACGGGAGGCAGCAGUGGGGAAUAUUGCACAAUGGAGGGAACUCUGAUGCAGCGACGCCGCGUGAGAGAUGAAGGAAUUCGUUUCGUAAAGCUCUGUUCUAUGGGAAGAAAAGGACUGUACCAUAGGAGAAAGCCCCGGCUAAAUACGUG